GAAACAAGAGCAUGGCAAUUUGGCCACAGUGGGUUCCCUGGGCCUCACGGCUAUUCCUUCUUCCCAGGACCGUGGUCGAAAUUCCGAUUGUUUAGUUGGAAUUUUCAGGAAGAGGCAAAGGCUUCAGAAGGGCUGGCCUUGGAGGAAAUAUUUUUAAACGGGAUUUCACAAUUUGAAAAGAUAAGUGUCCUCAGCUAGCGCUCAUUUCGUUUUUUUCUCCCAGUAGCUGGUUUGUUAAAAGUGAAAGAGGGGAAAGGGGAUUUUAAAAAAUUUCCCUCUUAAGAUUUUGAGGAGUUUGGGUUUCGUUUUGUGCAGAGAGCGGCGCAGGUCCGGACUCGCCCGCCCAGCCUCGGCCCGGGGGAGGUGCCGCUGCCCGCAGUUCCUCUCUGCUUUCCUACCAUCAUCGGUUACGGGCGGGCAGCCGGGAUCGAUUGGCGGUCGGAGGACGCUUGGGAACCUGUUUCCUAGGCCUGGGGAGGAGAGCGCGCUGGAGCCCUCUUGUCCCUCCGAGGAAAAUGAGUUCGCUUAUCCUUUUCUUCAUCCGGCUGCCGAGGGCUAGAGGCGGCCACCAGCCGACCCCUCCAGCCAACCCCCUCCCCCCGGGGCUCCUUCCUCUCUCCCGAGUCGGGACCUGCGUCAGGCCGGCGCCGAUGCUGCUUUUCCGAAACCCGAUUUCUCUGCAGUCUACGCUCUAUCCCAGUCUGCGCCGCAGGAGAAAGCGCCGGGGCCCGGGGCCCGGAAGCCCCUUCCAGUUCGACCCCGCAAGGGUCCUGGCGCCCAUUGUCAGCCUCGCUGGGGCGACCUGGUGGACGCGGAGCGCCGUUCUGGGUCGCGAGCUCCGCUCGGCAAAGUCGCGGCGCGACCCUCGGUCCCGGCGCGAUUUCCGCAGCGCGCACCGCUACCUUCUCCCCAGCUUGCGCGGCGGGACUGAGCUGCCUGAAGAGCCCCUGGAACCAGGCAGAAAAGAGCAUCAGCCUCACGCCUGAGGGCCUUUUCCCGGGUUGUACGCAAAGCGGGCCCGGCGACCUCCGGGACGCCUCUCAGGCCUCCGCCUGGAGAAGACUUCGUAGGGGAAGACUCGGGCUCCGUGCCGCCUACCCGGAGGGGGCAGCCUCCAGCGCCUCCGAGCCGUCUGCCCGCAGCAAGUCCGGGACGCUGCAGCCCAGCUCCCACUCUGGUCCGGCUAAGAGAAGCUGGGCUGGGCCUGGCUGGGCCCGGCUUAUCGAGAACCCCGGCCGAUGGGGCUGCUUGUCACCUCCAGGCUCUCGGACACACACACUCACACUCAGGAUAGGAGGACCUUCGAGGAGGUGGUGCGGCCCGAGUCCCGGGGACUCAAGUGCCCACGGUCGCGACGUAAAAGCCAGGCCCUUGUUCACCCAUCACCAGCACCAGCCCCAAGCCCUUGGUCAUUCCGACCCACACGCUUUGCCUUUCUUGGCCUCGCAUCUUCCGACAGGGCCACCACGCCUCGCCAGCAGGGACCCACUUGGGCGGGAAGGGCCUAGAAACUCCCUAGCCCUGGAAUUUCAGGCCUGGGACCGUCAGGGAGACAAACUAGGCCCUCUCGUGCCUUCACGCCCUCUCUUGGUAUUUUAGUAUAGUAACAAAAAGCAAACCCCAAACGCCUUAAAAUUUUAAUGAGACCUCCUUCCCGGAGAAGUUACUUAGAGGCAGCAAAAUUCCGGAGCUGGGGCCGGGGAUCGGGGAUGGUCCCCCGACGUGUGCGACGGAGCUGAGUCAUCCCAGGCACAGGGUUAGUAAGGAGAGGGUGCCAGUAUGUACUGCAGGUCCAAUCCAGGCGCGACCCCCUCAGGAAAAAGACGCCCCAUCCUCACUGCGCGCCCCUGGCUCUCUCCCCCUGUCUGCUGAACUGCGGCGGGAUGCGCCCGGCGGCUACCGCCAAAGCCAGAGCGGAGCGCAGUGUGUCCGCCAGGCGGCGCUGCGGAGCCCGGCGGAGCGGGCGAGAGACACGGAACCCUGGCCAGCGCGCGGGACACAGGCUGGGUGUCAGACAGAGACCCCGCGCCUCCACGUUAGCACGGUUUUCCGAGCGGUGUCUGGUAGCUCCCUCCUGCUAGUUCCUCGCUCCUCUCCCGCUACGAACCAUGUCCUCUGCGCUUCUCCACAUGCUCUAGCUUCUGCUUUUGUGUUCCCCGUGCUCUUUCUCUACCCCAGAGGAGUUGCCCAGGUGUCCAGGGCCCCUCUCCAAGCCGGGGAGCUCCCAUCGCCACCAUCAAGGCUCUGACAGGUCACUUUGUCAUAGUGAAGUGAAUCUCACCCAUUCAUGCAUCCAUUCACUUCCAUUCUCUGAUUAUUUCCUAUGACCUAACCCCUCGCCAAGGGCUUCCCAUCUCUUUAUUCACCCCUGACACAGAUGGAGAAACUAAGGCUAAAUCCUGGAAGCCAAUGGCAAGGCCAGCAGAGAAAGCCCAAGUCUUUCUCUCCAUUCAACCCCUGCACCCAUCUGUACCUCUGGCAGUGGCACUGAGUGGCCCUGAUGUCUUUGUGCUGGGUGGUCUUUAAGCAGUGAGGAAAGGCAAAUUUAAAAAAAAAAAAAAAGCCCUUGUGCUUUGGAAAAGGUAUAAAAAUUGCCCAGAAGGCAAGGCCUGUCCCUGUGGGGCUACCUGAUGGCCAGCUUCCUCUGCACGUAUUGGCUUAGGGCUCCUCACCUCCCAUGCCUAGAGGCCUGGUGAUGCUCAGAGUGACUGUAAAAUGCAGACUGACCUGCUCACGCUUAUGUCCAGCCCAUACUAUCCUGUAUUAUCC
ensembl:lncRNA